rnacentral:rRNA from 1 species
GAAAGACCUGUAGCCUAAGGCAUAGUGAAAAAGAGAUGAAAUAGUAGUUCUACAAGCAGCCGGAAUGAAGCUUUUAAUAGCUAAUAACGGUGUACCUUUUGCAUAAUGGGUCAGCAACUUAAUCGGUGAUGCAAGCAGAAAUGCCUAGAUAAAACGACUAUAUAAAGAAUGAUGGUAAAUCUUUCUUAAUUUAAUAAAUUAAUAAAGAUAUAAGUAUCCUCGAUUAGACCCGAAACCAAGUGAUCUUACCAUGGUCAAGUAUAUAAAUGACUGAACGGGUGUUUGUCGCAAAAAGCUCCGAUGAACUGUGGUAAGUAAGUGAAAGACAAAUCUGACUUGGAGAUAGCUGGUAUUCCGCGAAACCUAUUUUAGUAGGUCAUCCAUACAAUAACUUUUAAUGCGAAAUAUAACUUUGCUGGAAAGUUAACUUAUUAGCAGGUACAGCACUUGAAUUCCAUAAUCUUUAUUUUAACUUCUUGUUUUUAAAGAAUAAAAUAAGAAUCGCUUAAAUGCGAAAAGUUGAUAAAGCUUUAUAUUGGGGGGUCGUGAAGGCUCUAUCAUUGGAAAUUAACCUCGGAAUGGCAAAUAAGAAUAAUGGACAAUCAGACACCUGGUGCUAAGGUCAUGUGUCAAAAGGGAAACAGCCCAGAACAAGAAAAUUAAGGCUCCAAAAUCAUUGUUGUCUUAUGUCCUCGGAAUAAGACAACUUUUUGACCUUUAAAGGGUCAAAUCAGUUAAGUGAAAUAAAGGGAGUUAUUCACCUUCUACAGCCAUGAAGUGAGCUUAGAGGCAGCUAUCUUUUAAAGACCGCGUAAUAGCGCAGUGGUCCAAAUGAAAAUGGGAGAAUAGCACCGAAAAUUUACCGGAUCUAAACAAUGUGCCGAAAUCUUGUGUUUUAUAAUUAGGCUUAAUAUUCAAAAAACACAGUGUUACACAGUCAAAUUAUAAAACGGUAGCGGAACAUUCAGUAAAUGGAUGAAGAGUAGUGUUUCAUUACUUGGACAUAACUGAAGAGAGAAUGCUGACAUGAGUAACGUUAAAGGUGGUCUAUUUUAAAUAAAAAAAAAAGAUAAUUAGGACAAUACGCAAGCUUUAUCUCUAUUUGCUAUUUUUUUUUAUCUUCAAUAAAUAUAAUCCACCUCGCCUUAAGCAGAAGGGUUUCAAGGCAAUGCUUAACAGCCUUGAGUAAAGUAACGGCCUCUAAGAUAAUAACCGAAAGGGUUAAAACGAUGAGAAAAUAAAUAAAACUUCUUUCUGAAUAAAAACCAGUUAUAUUAGUAUAAAAGGUUCAGGAAAAAACAGAACAGAAUAAUUUUAUUAUUAAUAAAAUUAUUAUUAAACCGUACCCUAAACCGACACUGGUUUG